CGCGGGGUAAUUUACCAGGUAUCACAUGAUAUAAUAUUUUAUCAUGAUAGUGGUGCAUGGCCGUUUCCAAUGGAUGCUGUGAAGUAAUGAUUAAUUUCAACAAGAUGUGAGACCCUCUAUUAAGACAGAUGUAGUGAUACAUAUGAAGGAGAGGAUUAAAACAGGUCCGUUAUGCCCUAAGAUAAUCUGGGUUGCACGCGCAAUACAAUAAUAUUUCAUAUUAUAAGGGAUAAUAUAAUGUAAGAUAUAUUUGAACAUGGAAUUGCUAGUAAAUUUUAUUUAAUAAGUAGAAUUGAAUGUGUCCCUGUUCUUUGUACACACCGCCCGUCGCUAUCUAAGAUGGUAUUAUCUAUGAACAAAUUUAUAAAGUGAAUAGAUAGUACUAGAUCUGAUAUAAGUCGUAACAUGGUUGCUGUUGGAGAACCAUUAGCAGGAUCAUAA
rnacentral:rRNA from 1 species